UACGGAGGGUGCGAGCGUUGUCCGGAUUUACUGGGCGUAAAGGGCGCGUAGGCGGUCGUGACAAGUCACUUGUGAAAUCUCCGGGCUUAACUCGGAACGGUCAAGUGAUACUGUCGGACUAGAGUACAGAAGGGGCAACUGGAAUUCUCGGUGUAGCGGUGAAAUGCGUAGAUAUCGAGAGGAACACCUGCGGCGAAGGCGGGUUGCUGGGCUGAUACUGACGCUGAGGCGCGAAAGCCAGGGGAGCGAACGGG
rnacentral:rRNA from 1 species